rnacentral:rRNA from 1 species
UGACUCUCGGCAACGGAUAUCUCGGCUCUCGCAUCGAUGAAGAACGUAGCGAAAUGCGAUACCUGGUGUGAAUUGCAGAAUCCCGCGAACCAUCGAGUCUUUGAACGCAAGUUGCGCCCGAGGCCCUCGGGCCGAGGGCACGCCUGCCUGGGCGUCACGCCAAA